AUUGAACGCUGGCGGCAGGCCUAACACAUGCAAGUCGAGCGGAUGAGAGGAGCUUGCUCCUCGAUUCAGCGGCGGACGGGUGAGUAAUGCCUAGGAAUCUGCCCAGUAGUGGGGGACAACGUUUCGAAAGGAACGCUAAUACCGCAUACGUCCUACGGGAGAAAGUGGGGGAUCUUCGGACCUCACGCUAUUGGAUGAGCCUAGGUCGGAUUAGCUAGUUGGUAGGGUAAAGGCCUACCAAGGCGACGAUCCGUAACUGGUCUGAGAGGAUGAUCAGUCACACUGGAACUGAGACACGGUCCAGACUCCUACGGGAGGCAGCAGGGGGGAAUAGUGGACAAUGGGAGCAAGCCUGAUCCAGCCAUGCCGCGUGUGUGAAGAAGGCCCUCGGGUCAUAAAGCACUUUAAGUUGGGAGGAAGGGCUUACAGCGAAUACCUGUGAGUUUUGACGUUACCGACAGAAUAAGCACCGGCUAACUUCGUGCCAGCAGCCGCCGUAA
rnacentral:rRNA from 1 species